rnacentral:rRNA from 1 species
CCUACGGGUGGCAGCAGUAGGGAAUAUUGGGCAAUGGAUGCAAGUCUGACCCAGCCAUGCCGCGUGCCGGAAGAAGGCCUCAGGGUUGUAAACGGCUUUUAUUCGGGAAGCGGUACCGAAUGAAUAAGCACCGGCUAACUCCGUGCCAGCAGCCGCGGUAAUACGGAGGGUGCGAGCGUUGUCCGGAUUUAUUGGGUUUAAAGGGUGCGUAGGUGGCUUUUUAAGUCAGUGGUGAAAUACAGCCGCUUAACGGUUGAGGUACCAUUGAUACUGAAAAGCUUGAAAUAAUUGGAGGCUGCCGGAAUGGAUGGUGUAGCGGUGAAAUGCAUAGAUAUCAUCCAGAACACCGAUUGCGAAGGCAGGUGGCUACGAUUAUUGACACUGAGGCACGAAAGCAUGGGGAGCAAACAGGAUUAGAUACCCUUGUAGUC